GGCCUGCGGCGCGCCCAGCGGCUCCAGGAAGAUGCUUUUGCUGCUGCCAUUUCACAGACGGGAAAGCGACAACGGCCCGCCUGGACUUGAACACAGGCCCAAGGCCUUCUGACCACUUGCCCGCCUCUGCUGGUCUUGCUGUCUGUCCCCACGGCCUUCACUACUGUGUCCCUGGUGCCUAGAACAGAGCCUGGUACAUAGAAGGUGCUCGAUGAAUGCUUUUCCCUAUCCCAUUUUCAAGAGGAGAAAACUGAGGCGAUUUGCCAAGGGGAGAUCCACGUGGCUGCUUUGACAGAGAGUGUUCUGCAAAAGGGCUUAGAAAUCAGCCAGCAGGUGGCAGGUUCUGGGACUGCAGGAGCCAUUCACAUGCGUGAAGAUCCGCUGGGCGCCCUUGCUCUGGGAUCAGGAAAGGCCGGUGCCAUGGAUGUGAUAGAUGCACACAGGGCAUCAGCAGGCCGCCGAGAGGAACCAGAGUGUCCAACGAACAGAAAACAGUGCUCAACCUUCACAUUUAUCGAAUGUUCCUUGGCACAUGCUGUAAUUCUGGCCCUAAAGACACAUUCAUGGACAAGACAAGCAAUUCCUGUUCUCGUGGAGCUGAAAUUCUCCUGGGGGAAGACAAGCACUAAACAAGAUCAAUGAUUAAAGUAUAGAUUGUAUUAGAUUCUGGUCAGCACUAUGGAGGAAAAUACAGCAGGGGAGCAGAGCAGGAGUUCUGGGAGAUUUGAUUUUUUGUUUUCUGGGGUUUUUUGUUUGUUUGUUUUUUGAGACAGGGUCUCACUGCUGGAGUGCAGUGGCACGAUCUCUGCUCACUGCAGCCUCUGCUUCUUGGGCUCAGGUGAUCCUCCCACCUCAACCUCCCAAGUAGCUGGGACCACAGGGGCAUGCCACCACACCCAGCUGAUUUUUUAAUGUUUUGUAGAGAUCAGGUCUCAUUAUAUUGCCCAAGCUGGGGGAGUUGAUUUUAACUUUAUGUUAGAGUAGUCAGGGAAGACCUCACUGAGGUGACAUUUAAGCAAAAACCUGAAUGUGGUGAAGCAGGUAUCUGGGGGACCUUGGACCACACAAAGGGAACAGCAAGUGCAAAGGCCCUGAGGUAGGAGCACGUAGUUGUGGUGAUGACGGAGAGUAGCAGGAAUUUGUGUCAUAGAAAUAGUGGGGGCUGGCCAGGCACAGCGGCUCAUGCCUGCAAUCCUAGCACUUUGGGAGGCCGAGGUGGGUGGAUUACUUGAGGUCAGGAGUCUGAGACCAGCCUGGCCAACAUGGUGAAACCCCAUCUCUACUAAAAAUUAAAAAAAAAAAAAUGGCCAGGCAUGGUGGCGUGCAUCUGUAAUCCCAGCUAUUCAGGAGGCUGAGACAUGAGAAUCACUUGAACCCGGGAGGCGGAGGUUGCAGUGAGCCGAAAUUGUGCCUCUGCACUCCAACCUGGGUGACAAAGCAAGACUCUGCCUCCAAAAAAAAAAAAAUGGAACAUGGAAACAUGGAAUGGGAGAAAAUAUUUGCAAAUCAUAUAUCUGAUAAGGGGUUCAUAUCCAGAAUACAUAAAGAACUGUUACAACUCAACAGCAAUAAAAACAACUCAAUUAAAAAUGGGCAAAGGACUUGAAUAAACAUUUCUCCAGAGAAAACUGUGAAUGGCUAAUAAUCACAUGAUAAGAUACUCAACAUCACUAACCAUUAAGGAAAUACAAACCAAAACUGCAAUGAGGCGCAACACUUUGGUGGAUCACCUGAGGUCAAGAGUUGGAGACCAGCCUGGCCGACACGGUGAAACCCCGUCUCUACUAAAAAUACAAAAAUUAGCUGGGCGUGAUGGUACGUGCGUAUAGUCCCAGCUACUUGGGAGGCUGAGGCAGGAGAAUCACUUGAACCUGGGAGGUGGAGGUUGCAGCAAGCCAAGAUCACGCCACUGCACCCCAGCCUGGGCAACUGAGUGAGACUCCAUCUAAAAAACAAACAAAACGCAAUGAGAAGAGAGGAUUUUGAAUGUUCCCGACACAAAGAAAUGAUAAACGCUUGAGGUAAUGGAUAUCCUAAUUACCCAGAUUUGAUUAUUACACGUUGUAUACAUGUAUUGAAAUAUCAUUUUGUAACCCAUGAACAUGUACAAUUAUGUGUCAACUAAAAAUAAAAGGAAUAAAACACAAUGAGAUACCACCUUACGCCCAUUAGGCUGGCUGCUGCGUUGGGAAGGAUGUGUAGAAACUGGAAUGCUUGUGUAGCUACUGUGGGAAAUGGUAUGGCUGUUCCUCAAAAAAUUAAAAAUAGAAUUACCAAAUGACCCAGCAAUUUUAUUUCUGGGUGUGUAUCCAAACGAAUUGAAAGCAAGAUCUUGAAGAGAUAUUUGUACACUCACGUUCAUAGCAGCCUUCUUCACAAUAGCCAAAAGGUGGAAGCAAUUAGCUGGGUGUGGUGGCGGGUGCCUGUAAUCCCUGCUACUU
rnacentral:lncRNA from 1 species